rnacentral:lncRNA from 10 species
AACUACAAACAAGAAGGGCGCUGGGGGAAGGUCAGUUCGAUGCUUUCUGGAGAACUAUCCUUCCAAGGUGGAGGAUCCCAUCUUGGAUACCACAUUACCUUAAACACUGCCUCAGCCAGGUGAUCAAGGUCAACGUCUACUGUGAUAAGUCAUGGUUUUGGUGUGUACCCUUGAUGUGAUGUGAUAAAAAUGGCACUUUACCUCUGUGGUCUUCCUCUGAAAAAUCCCGUAACAGCAGCCUAAUCAUGAGAAGCAUAUCAACAAAACUCAGACUCAGGGACAUUCUACAAAAUACCAGGCUGUCCCUCCCUGAAAUUGUCAAGUUCACCAAAAACAAGGUGAAUCUAAGAAACCUGUUACAGCCAAGAGGAGCCUAAGAAGACAUGAGGACUAAAUAUAACAUGGAAUUCGGGAUAGGAUUGUGCUACAGAAAAUGUAUGUGCUAAUGUGAGAUGUUAACAGUUGGAGAAACUCAGUUUUGGGUAUAAGGAAUUCUCUGUACUAUGUUUAUCUAAAAACAAUUCCAUGGUGAGCAAACUUAAGCAUAGAAAUGUUAAAUAAAUUGUCCAAAAUAGAGAAG